rnacentral:rRNA from 1 species
GACGAACCGUGCAAACGUUGUUCGGAAUCACUGGGCUUAAAGGGCGCGUAGGCGGGUUCGUAAGUCUGUGGUGAAAGCCCCAGCUUAACUGGGGAAGUGCCAUGGAUACUGCGAGUCUUGAGGAGGGUAGGGGCAUCUGGAACACUGGGUGGAGCGGUGAAAUGCGUUGAUAUCCAGUGGAACUCCGGUGGCGAAGGCGAGGUGC